GUGAGAAAGUGGGAGAGGUUGAAGUUUGGUGAAAAGAGAAGAGAGGCAGACAGGACACGUUUUGGUAGAACAGAGUUCCGUCAUAUCAAUUCAUUUCCAAAGGUGACGAAAUUUUCAGGGAUUGUAGGUUUAGGACACCUAGGAGCAUCGUUUCAACGGUGGGAUUGGAAAUUGAACGGUGAUUUGAGAUACUAUUGACGUGUGGAAGAAGUCAACUAUGGUUGUGUGGUGUUGUUAUUGUUCAAAAAUCAUCCCUAAGCUGAGGUAAAGAUAAAGUCUGACCGUGGAAUCAUAGCGAGGAGAGGAGGAUGAUCUAAGACUUGAUUUUCGUGAUCAUUAUUAGUUGAAUUUAACGGUUUCUUUUGAUUAAAUGUGGAAUUGAUGGUUGCAUUGUUAUUGGUAUUUUGCUAGUUUUUAUUUUGAAUACUUUUGAAUUUGGUGGUUUAUUUAGGAUAACCAGAAUGAUUUGAUCGAUUUAGUGAUUUUUGUGAGUUGUUGAAUUAAAUGUGGAUGUGGAGAAAUAAUUAAUAUUUAUGGGAAUAUUAGUUAUAUAAUUAAAAAAAAA